GUUCCUCAUUUUAUAAGUAAUGUUUAAGAGCAAUGACCCACUCCUACUUUCAGCAAAGAGGUGCACAUAGCAUAGACCCAUAGAAGAGGAAGGAUCUGAGAAGGAGUUUGAAAAAAGUGUAGGAGAGGCUGCGAGAAAACAAGGCAGGUGUCCUGGCUGAGGGCAGGAAGGAGACAUUGCGAUGGAAAUUGUGCCCCAUUUUCUUGGAGGAUUGGGAAGAGGACCUGUGGACUGGGCGGCCCACACAACUGCUGUAACCUCAGGCAGUUUUCAAGCAGAUUGACCUUCCUGCUGGAACACGGCACAUGAGGUGAAGUUCUCCUCUACCCAGGGUUGCUUGGCCUUGCCUCCACCAUGCCUGACACUGGCGCUCUGCUGGGAGGAAAAAGCUUGCUCUGUUGCUGGCUGUGUGGAACAGAGAGGGAAGUGGCAGACAGUCUGGGCCCAGCACUUGGGUAUCGUGCUCUAGCCAUGCGACUCAUCUCUCCAGUUCAGACCUGCCCCUGGAAAAAAGAGCCCAGACCUCAUCAUGAAUGCUUUCCUAGGAGAAAAUGAACAGCUGGACAAUGCUCCUGGUCAGUAGGCCUGAAGGAUGCUGGGAUGCAGCCCUCAAGAUGGAACAGCCAGGAUGCCAAGUAUCCCUCUUGCCCAGAUCCUAAGGCACUUUUUCUACUGAUCCAUAUUGGCCUCAGGAGAUGUCUCAACACAGCACCCCAGCCAAUGGAGCUGCCACAUAAGAUGAACUCUUGAUCAUCUCUAAACUAGAGAGUUAAACUCAACA
rnacentral:lncRNA from 1 species